UAAGCUCCACACAAGUAUUAACUUGAGCAUGAGGCCAUCACGAAGUUGAUGUAACACCAGUAGUUAAGAACUAGGGAUAGUUGGUAACUACAUUAGGUGU
rnacentral:sRNA from 1 species